rnacentral:rRNA from 1 species
CCAAUAGCGUAUAUUAAAGUUGUUGCAGUUAAAAAGCUCGUAGUUGAAUUUCGGGAUCAGAUUGUUGGUCGUGCCUCGGUACGCACUGGCAUUAUUGGUUCCUACCUUCUGAAGAACCGCGAUGUCAUUAAUUUGGUGUCGUGGGGAAUCAGGACUGUUACUUUGAAAAAAUUAGAGUGUUUAAAGCAGGCGCACGCUUGAAUACAUUAGCAUGGAAUAAUGAAAUAGGACGUUUGAUUCUAUUUUGUUGGUUUCUAGGAUUGACGUAAUGAUUAAUAGGGAUAGUUGGGGGCAUUAGUAUUCAAUUGUCAGAGGUGAAAUUCUUGGAUUUAUUGAAGACUAACUACUGCGAAAGCAUUUGCCAAGGAUGUUUUCAUUAAUCAAGAACGAAAGUUAGGGGAUCGAAGACGAUCAGAUACCGUCGUAGUCUUAACCAUAAACUAUGCCGACUAGGGAUCGGAUGAUGUUAAUUUUAUAAUGACUCAUUCGGCGCCUUACG